UGGGGAAUAUUGCACAAUGGGCGCAAGCCUGAUGCAGCUAUGCCGCGUGUGUGAAGAAGGCCUUCGGGUUGUAAAGCACUUUCAGCGAGGAGGAAGGCAAUCGUGUUAAUAGCACGGUUGAUUGACGUUACUCGCAGAAGAAGCACCGGCUAACUCCGUGCCAGCAGCCGCGGUAAUACGGAGGGUGCAAGCGUUAAUCGGAAUUACUGGGCGUAAAGCGCACGCAGGCGGUUUGUUAAGUCAGAUGUGAAAUCCCCGCGCUUAACGUGGGAACUGCAUUUGAAACUGGCAAGCUAGAGUCUUGUAGAGGGGGGUAGAAUUCCAGGUGUAGCGGUGAAAUGCGUAGAGAUCUGGAGGAAUACCGGUGGCGAAGGCGGCCCCCUGGACAAAGACUGACGCUCAGGUGCGAAAGCGUGGGGAGCAAACA
rnacentral:rRNA from 1 species